UAUACUUCCCGCCCACGGAACGG
rnacentral:miRNA from 1 species